rnacentral:rRNA from 1 species
GACGAACGCUGGCGGCGUGCCUAAUACAUGCAAGUCGAGCGGACUUACAAAAGCUUGCUUUUGUAAGUUAGCGGCGGACGGGUGAGUAACACGUGGGCAACCUGCCCUUGAGACUGGGAUAACUUCGGGAAGCCGGAGCUAAUACCGGAUAAUAUAAAGAACCUCCUGGUUCUUUAUUGAAAGAUGGUUUCGGCUAUCACUUAAGGAUGGGCCCGCGGCGCAUUAGCUAGUUGGUGAGGUAACGGCUCACCAAGGCGACGAUGCGUAGCCGACCUGAGAGGGUGAUCGGCCACACUGGGACUGAGACACGGCCCAGACGCCGACGGGAGGCAGCAGUAGGGAAUCUUCCACAAUGGACGAAAGUCUGAUGGAGCAACGCCGCGUGAGUGAUGAAGGCCUUAGGGUCGUAAAGCUCUGUUGUUAGGGAAGAACAAGUGCGAGAGUAACUGCUCGCACCUUGACGGUACCUAACCAGAAAGCCACGGCUAACUACGUGCCAGCAGCCGCGGUAAAAC